UUGUGGGCGGGGCCAAGGCGCGGGGAAAGCGGGCGCCACCACGACCGCGGGGUCUGGGCGGCUGGGAGGGUGCGGAGCGGUGCCCGAGGUGCUGAGAGGCUCGCAGAGCGCGGGGCGCGUCAGCAGGAACAGCCGUGGGACCGUGGGCGCCCCGCCCGGUCCUGAGCGGUACCGGAGGAGAGCGGCCCGCCCUGGAGUCCCCGUGCGCUCUGCUUUCUCCCCGUCAGCUGGGCCCACCGCGGGGACAGACAACUUGAGGCGGUUCUUGGUCCGGCAGCCUGCCGGCCUAGGAAAUACAAAAUUAGUUCAGACAACUCCGUCCACGGCGAACCCUUAAUUUUCCGUCUUUGCAGGUUGGUUCCCGCCCUGGGGCCGCGCGUCAGGCCCUCCAGGACCGCCAGGCGGCUUGCUGCAGGAAGAGGGGUGAAGUGAGCAGGCGUGAGACAGGAGAGGUGGCAGGAAUCGCAUUUUGAACCUUUUCCAGUACUGACUGCUUUCCUCUCUGGGACCCGUAGCCGCCUCUCUUUGGGCACUUGGGCCCCUCUCUACCGGCUUUGAGGGGCCGAGCCACGAUGCAGCUGUGUCUUGACUACCAUGGCCUGCUCCUACCCCCUCCGAGUUAGGGGAGGGUCCAGCCGGCCUGGGCCGGUGUCCAUCGCAGGACCGCUGCAUUACAUUGAGGCAAUGGGGAAGGAUCGCUGACUAAGAAAACUUACACGUUCUCCUGGGAGAAGAUGCCACCUAGGCUUUCACAGCUGGAGCCGACCAGUCUGUGCUGGCUCAGAGCUCCAAGAACGGCUUCCGCAGCUCGUCCGGGUCUUGUGAGGGGCUCAGGCAGCUGGUGACUUGAGCUGAAGACAGUGCUCACUCACUAUUUUAAAAAUCCCAGGGUCUUAAAGAAUUGUGCUACGUGUCCUCUGCCUUUGCUGUGUGCAUGGAACCUCAGACCUGGAUGACAGCACACUGAUUAAAGAAAAUGUAUGUCCAUGGCUGUGACCUACUGCUCAGAAUAAAAGAUUCCUGUCAAAAUAUCCUGCUCACUGACAAGGCACAUGGUCACCCAAGAGCUCUGAUGGAGAUGGACAAAGAG